rnacentral:lncRNA from 1 species
GUCACCAUCAACGGCCUGGCCUGCAAGGCUGCCUCGUCUGCCAUGUCGGAGGACUUCGCGUUCAGGGGCUUCCGCAAGGACGGAGACACCAACAACCCCCUCGGCAUCGCGCUUGCACCAGGGUUCGCGGGCAUCAACUACCCCGGGUUGAACACCCUUGGAUUCGCGUUGGCCAAGUUCAACUACGCCAAGGGUGGGCUCGUGCCCCCUCACACCCACCCCAGGGCCGCGGAGGUGAUCUACGUGGUGAAGGGAGAGGUGCACGUCGGAUUCGUCGACACCGCCGGGAAGCUCUUCGCAACGAGCCUGAAGAGGGGCGACUUCUUCGUGUUCCCCAAGGGAUUGGUGCACUUCCAGCUGAAUGUGGGCAGCGGUCACGCCGUGACGAUCUCGGUGUUGAACGGGCAGAACCCUGGCGUACAGUUCUCCACCGCCGUGUUCGCAGCACAGCCGUCAAUCGACACCUCGGUACUGGCCAGGGCGUUCCAGCUCAAGGACAUGGAUGUGAUGGACUUGCAGACCAAGUUCAAGCCCGCCGCGUAAGCUAGUCCAUCCGGAUUGCCAACCGGGUCGUUGGCGAGAUGAGGAGCGACACAUUGUGGACAUUGUAGUCGAUAGGUAUCGUAGAUAGGAGGGUUGUUGGAUUAGGGACAACUACUCUGAGACGGCAUCGUAGUAUUGAUUGGGGUCAAGAGUGCCCGCAUAUGAAAUGAUAUUUUUUGUACAGAUGCUGCUAUGCUGGGUUGCACCGGCGCCACAUUGGACUUGAACAAUCCUCCACUGUUUUGAAACCUCGUGGCAUUCCUCAUGAGCUACUGGUGUGAACUUGCGAAUUCAACCCUGGGGGAUACACGGUUCAAGGAGUGUAUAGGGAUAUAUGGUAUCGGCGAGUAUAUUAUUCCAAGUACGGCCGAACCCAUAUCCAUUCAUGAGAUGUGUGGCGAUGAAUCACACGCAACGAUUUAGGAAGCACAACCCUAGGUGACUCAAUCCUGCUAGAUAUCAUGUCAUACACGUCAACUUUGAGCCGCAGCAAUAACCAGCCGCAAACAUUCACGCACAUCCUCUCAAGACUAAUAUUGGUACCUCGCACUUCCUGGUCAAUAACUAGUGAGUGUGCAAAGCAGUGCAACAAUAAAUGGCAUAUCGAGUAUCCACGGGUGCCUCACUUGUGCGGGGUGAUUCGGGUGAAGUAGAAAUGCCUCGUACCGACAUUUUCAUCUCGAUGGGUGGGUGGUGUGAUGCGCGAGGAUCUUAAUUUGGGACACAGCGGUAUUAGCGGCGUCCUAUUGGAGACUAAGUGGCAGAACUAUUGAUUGGUGAUCGACUUCAGCAAUUCGUUGUGGGUCCGCAGAAAGACUGGAAAGGCAACACUCAGCGGCUUCUGUAAUAACUUCUUAACGAAUGUCUGAUCUGGCAAGCAUUUCGACGGAGUAUAUAGGAACUUCACGACAUUCCCGAUUGCAGAGGUUAAGGUAGUUACAACGCUAUUCACUCUCGUCGGAGCGUUUACCUCUGCGCGGUGACUAUAGUCAAUCUGGACAAGAUGGCCAAGGUCCUCGUUAUCUUCGUCGUUGUGGCUUCUCUGGUUGCUUUGGCAUCUGCUAGUGAUGCCGACCCCAUCAACGACUAUUGUGUGGCGGAUUUGGCUAGCAAGAUCACCAUCAACGGCCUGGCCUGCAAGGCUGCCUCGUCUGCCAUGUCGGAGGACUUCGCGUUCAGGGGCUUCCGCAAGGACGGAGACACCAACAACCCCCUCGGCAUCGCGCUUGCACCAGGGUUCGCGGGCAUCAACUACCCCGGGUUGAACACCCUUGGAUUCGCGUUGGCCAAGUUCAACUACGCCAAGGGUGGGCUCGUGCCCCCUCACACCCACCCCAGGGCCGCGGAGGUGAUCUACGUGGUGAAGGG